CUGAUCUCCACUUAAGACCCCAUAUCCUGCUCCAUUUAAACAACAUGCCUUAUGUCCUUCCUGGAGUGGAUUUCUAACAACAUAGUAGUUGGGCCAUAUUUGUAUACGCAGGUUCCCUGCUUAGGCUAUUAAAGCUCAGGGAAACUGAAAAGAGCAUGCUGAAAAAAAGGCACGAUAUUUCCGUCAGACACGGGAACUACCAAACUGGAUCAGAUCUAAGGUGCAUUCACUCCAGCAGCUAGUCUCCAGCUAUGGCUGAUGCCUUGGAAGAAGGCAUUUGACAUCCUGAGCAGUUCACAGAAGAGACAGGGAUGCAUUCCAACAUCAGGCUUCCUUGACCCUAGAAAGUCCCAGCUAAUGAAUACAGAUAUGCCAAUCAAUUAUUGCUAGACUCCGAGCCUGGCUAAUCGAAGAGCGAAACAGCAGCAGUAGCAGAGAAAAAAUGCUGGCACAUUGUCCUUCGGAUUAAAAAACCUAAUGAGUCCUAACAGUCUGGGAACUGGAGCACUGUAGUUACUUGGAGAUACAUGGAAAGUUUGGGAAGGGAGCAGAGGUAUCAUUUACACCAGAAUUAUUAUUUUUCUAGUCAUUUUUCAGUGUCAGGUCUGUUAGCACAGGAACAGCCCAGAGUGACUUGAGCCUGAAGAAGGGUGUUUGUGCCCAAAAGCUUCCAAAGAAC